UGGUUGUCCGAUUACGAAGACGCCGUUGAAAGCAUCGGGCUUGAGGACUAAUAAGACGCUUCGUCAAUCGAUUGAAGAGUGGAGAGAUAGAAACACGAUGAUUUUUAUUGGUUCUAUGAAGUCGCGGAUUCUUUCUAAUGAGGAGGAAGAAGUGAUAGUGUCGUUAGGGAAGCUUCGAGAUUUGUGUUUGGAAAGAGAGCUUCAUCAAGAAUGGCUGAUGAUGGAAGACUACUUGCCUGUUCUUCUUUCGCUUCUUUCUACCAAGAAUUUUAAAAUUAGAUCGCAUGUACUCGUUAUUCUUCGCAUCCUUGCAACCAACAACGAUGACAGGAAGGUAUGAAUCAAUUUAGAAUCACAUCAAACACCUCUACAGAUUUAAAAGUUCAUAAUCUUUGAUCGGUAACUUACAGGAAACCAUAGCUAAAACGGAUGAUGGCAUCAAAUUGAUUGUGUGUUCUCUAGCACGAAAGAUCAAAGAAAGUAAGUUGGCAUUGCAAUUGCUCACGGAAUUAUCAGAAAAUGAGGUGGCAAGAAACAUAAUUGGGAGUAGUCAAGGUUGCAUACUUCUUCUUGUUACCAUAUCUGGUAGCGAUGAUCCUCAAGUUGCCAAUGACGCCAAAAAACUCUUGGAUAAUCUCUCUUUUCUUCCUCAAAAUAUCGUGCAAAUGGCCAAAGCUAAUUAUUUUGAACCUCUACUUCACCUUCUUUCUUCAGGUAAACAAUAAUGUCUGUAAUUAAUGUUCAAUAGAAAUUGAUGAUGAAAAAACGAAUCAACACAGGGUCUGAAACUGUUCAACGGGAAAUGGCGGAUACAUUAUCAGAAGUUGAGAUGACAGAUCAUGGAAAACUUACAGUUUGUGAAAGCGGAGCAGUAGAGUCGCUUGUUGCUAUGCUUUCUCACGUUGAUAUAGAGAUGAAGAAGGCUGCCAUUUUAGCCCUGGAAAAGCUCUCAGGUGUGCCACAAAAUGGAUUAAAAAUGAUCAAACAAGGUGCAGUGGAUCU
rnacentral:lncRNA from 1 species